rnacentral:lncRNA from 1 species
AGGGCUCCGCAGCCUCGAUGGCUCAGGGCCCUGCAGGAGCUGCUGCUGUCCUGCCCUCACACCUCGUCUCCUCUAAGGAGUGGUCAGUGGCCCCACCCUGGGAGCUGAUGCGCUGGCCCAGGAUUAGUGUCCUGUGCAGCCUGAACCCCUGGAGGGCAGUGGCCAUGUCUGCUGCUCCUUGGAAUGCCUGUCCCGGCCUCGGCCUCAGGCCCUUUGCUCACAGUCAGCGUGUCCCUGAGUGAAUGAAUGACUUGGUUCCCCCUGUGCCCCAUCGCUCCUCCACCCCUUCCCCCCUUGUGCUGCUGGGGGACCUGCUGCCUCAAUAUCCUUGAUCCCAGAGGAAGCUCAUGGCUCAGGGACCCACAGGACCCUCUGGAAACAGGCUCCUGCCUCCCUCUCAUCCUCCCACCCGGCUCCACCAACCUGGUCCCUCUCUGGCCUGCCCCAGUGGGUGCCAGCAGCUCCAAGGACUGGAGAGCUGUCACAGCCAUUCAUGGUCAUGAGUCUCCAUCCUGGGAUGCCUCACCCUGAAUAUCGGGCAAUCUCCUACUCCUCCCUCAAGACCAGGCUUGCCCAUCACCUCCUCCAGGAGGCCCUCCCUGAUGACCUUGGGACAGGCUGUAGCUCUAGUGCCCUGAGAUGGCUCUGGCUGGCAUCCCCUGGCGUGUGUCAGCCCUCCCCCUGCUGAGGGGCUCCUCAAGGGCAGGCACCAUGUCCUGCUGCUCUCAGCACCGCGGCCCCAAGCAGGAGCUCAGGAACAGGCUGAGUGAGAGCCUCUGCCAUGCUCCUCCCUCUCGAGCUUCUGACCAGGUCCCUUCAGAGUCUCCAUGUGCCUGGCAGUGGGCGUCCUCAGUUCCCUGUCGCCUUAAUCUUCUUCACUCUCUCUCUGCGAUGGAAACAGAUCCACAAGGACAGACCGGUGCUGCCCACUUGCCUGGUAUCCUGGCGUCUGUUGUGGUCGUGCUGCUGAUCCUCGGAGCUGGAGCUGGGCUGUACCUUUGGAAGAGACGUGGGGUGAAGAAGCACGUGGAGCCUGGGACAGAGGCAGGAUCGAAGGAGGAGCCCAGGGACCCGGAUGGUGGCAUCCACUAUGCAGAGCUGAGCCAGCAGGGGUCCAGAGGCCACAGGGACAAGGGUAGGGGAGAACCACAUCUAGAAGAGGAGAAAUCUCUCACUACUGUCUACAGUGAGGUCCGCAGGCCAGGCCACGCCAUGACCGCGUUUUAAUGGGAAGAAGCAGGAGAAUCCCACCCCGGGGACACCUGUGUCGUGAGCAUGACGCCCGCAGCUCUGUGCCUGCCUCUUCCACCUGUGACGGCUCUGAGGAGGACUAGAUGGGUCCAGCAGUUCUUUCUGUGCUAAAUCCUCCCCGUGAGACACACACAGUGGUAGAUCAGGAGAAACUAAGUAAAUAAAUUGGUCCAAACC